CCGGUCGCUUCCCUCCCGCGCCGGGCCCGCUGCUCCGGGGGACGGCGGAGGACAGCGGGCUGCGGGGCGGCCGGACGGGGCAGGCCGAGUCCUCGCGUGCCGCGCGCGUCCCCGCGGACUCGAGCCGCCAUCCGGCCGCGAGGUCUGGGCGCCUCGGCCCGAGGACGCUGGUUUCGAGCGGGGCCGAAGUAAACAAAGCUCGCCUCCAUUUUUUCUGAUAAUGCAGAAAAUCGAAUGUAGACAAGCGAGGCUUUCUGAGGCCGUCCGGUCUCGGGGCAUUUAGGAAUGUGCAGGUGUAUAUUAGCUUAAAAGUAUUAUAUUAAUAAUAAAGGUUGACUUUGCAUAUGAAGAUUCGGGGAAUAGACCACGGACCACAAAGUUAAGAAUGAUAGCAUAUAUUCUACUAGAAAAAAUAAACAACAAAAGCCUUCUCACCAUAUGCAGACAAAUUCCCGGACUGGAGGGAGGGAGAAUUCAGAGAGAAAAGGACAGACCAACCCUGCAGCCCACUUCCUCAUUAGAAUACUAGAACCGUCGGAUUUCGGCCCACACACUGACCGGGCUUCCCUGUGGGGUAAGGAGUCCUUUUUCUAGCCCUGAACUGAAUGCUAUUAGUUCUUCCACUGCUCACUCACUAUAGUUCUUCUGUAGUAUUCUGAUUCUGUUGAGAGAAUCCAAAAUUGGCAAAUGCUUUGAUUUACAAACACAAAGGGUAAACAUUUUCUAACGCUUCAGUCAUUUUCCAUAAUAUUCCAAAGCAUGCAACUUUAUUCUACACGUUUUGACGGCUUCACGGGUUAACGGAUCUCCUGACUGAACGAUGGAAUUAUUAAGCCUUGCGUAAAUAGUAGAAGCUCCUCUUCAGAGGUGUUAGAUAAAGUAGAAGUUUGGCAACAGUCUGGUGAAGUGGGGCUCUAUAGACCACCGGCCUGGAAAAUCCAGUUCUCAAUUCAGUUUCUCCUUGGUCCUGUCCUAGGCUGGUCAAUAGAAGCUGAAGCAGGCUGAGGAUUGAAGCAACUUGGAUUAUGAUGGCUGUAAGAUUUACCUUUUGAAGUGUAAGUAUACUUAACGUGAUCUGAUAUCUGUGCUUGUUCCUGGAAGGUUGUGUGGGAGUUCCAUUUUGGUCACUGCAUAAUUUUCUCAUUUCCUUACGCUAUAAAUUUUAGAAUGCUUUACCUUGGUGCCUAAUUACCUUUAAAAGGUAGUUAUUUCCAACAUUUCUCUUUCUGUUUUUCUGCUCAUAGGCUUCUGAUAAGUAGCCGGUACCCUCUUAAUGAAUGCAUCCAUUGGAAGCUGCAUUGGUAAUAAGACAAUGCUUUUUAUAAGGCUUUAAUUUAUUUCUUUCAAACAAAAUUUCUCAUGUCGGAGUUUCUUUAAGUAGAGCACAUAUGCUGAUUAGCCUGGGCAAAUCUGACUGCUGUACAGGCACUAGGACGUGCUGACUUUGGGGUUGUCCUCUGUCUGGUUAUUUAUUGCUGUGUAACCAACCGUCCCAAAACUCAGUGGCUUGAAACAAACAAUAUCUUUUUCUCUCACAUGGUUCCGUGGCUUGGCUGGGUUCGACUGUGUGAUUCUCCCUUGUGGUCCCUCAUGCGGCUUGCCAUCAGAUGCUGGCUGGGGCUGGAGUCACUUGAAGGCACUUGGCUGGUCGUCCAAGAAGGCUUCUCUGGUCACAUGUCGUGUGUAGGGUGGGACGACUGCAGAGCCGGGGACUGGCUGGGUGCCUCUCUCUCCCCAAAGCGUCUCUCCAUGGCGAGGGUGGGACUCCUCACAACAUAACCAUCUCAGGGUGGUAGACCUUCUUUCUGGCAGUGGCUGCCCCGAGAGCAUGCCAUCCAACGAGUAUGGCAGAUAGUGCGAGGUUCCUCUGACCUGGCCUUGGAACUCAGUGCCACUGAGGCUGCACUCUGUUGUUUACGCGGAAGUCACAGGGCCAAACCAGAUUCAAGGGGACAGGCCUAUACACAGGCACGGACGUCAGGAGUUGCAGCCCAUCAGAGAUCCAUCUUUGGAGUUUAGCUACUGUGUUUAAUGUAUCUCAAAGUUAUAAAGUGGGUUAGAGUUAAAGCUACCUAUUUUGGUUGUAUUCCUGGGAACACUUUAAUGAUAAUAAUAAUAAUAAUAUCUGCCAUUCAUGGAGCAAUUAACUGCACUAUCACCUACUGGAGACAGAGUUGGGCAAAAACAAAUAAAAAAUUCCUGCUCUCACAGAACUAGCGGGGGAGAAAGGCAAUAAAGUAAAUAAGAAAAUAUGUAGGAUAUCAGACGGUGCUAAACUCUACGGAGAAAACGUAAGCAGGAAGAGGAUUAGGAAAUGUGUGUGUGGAAGCAAUGCUAAGCAGGCUCUUAGAGAAGGCUGCCCUGAUGAGGGCACACUGAAGCAGAGAUCUGAAGGAGGUGAGGGCCCUUGUGGGGGAAGAGCUUUCUAGUCAGGGGGCCCUUUGGCUGGGGCUCAGUCGGGGGUUUAGGAGACAGGGUCAGGGUGGAGGGAGGGGUGUGAGGAGCUGUGAGGGUCACAUAGGCCUUUUACUUACAUGAGGCUUUUACUCUGAGUGUGAAUGGAAGGCCCUGGUGUGGUACUCUCUGCUGGAAGGGAGCGCGGGUCCAGCGGGAGACAGUCAGGGGGCUACCGCGCAACCCAGGCAAUGGGGGCCUGGACCUGGGCGUUGGCUGCAGGAGUGCUAGGUAGUGAGAUAUCAUAUUAUAGGUACAUUUGGAAGGUAGGACCAACAAGAUUUGAUUACAGAUUGGACCUGGAAACAGAGACAACUCUUCUGAGAAGUUUUGCUGUGAAUGGGGGGAGUGGAGAACCGAGGCGCAGGCUGGGAGGGACAUGUGUUUUCCUCGGUUUUGUUUUUGGUUUUGGUUAUUGUUUUUGUUUGUUUGUUUAAGAUGUGAAGAAUGUUUGUGCAUUGGUGGGAAUGACUGGUCCAACAGAAAGGGAACAGUUGGUGAUGCAGGAGAGAGAGGGGCUGAUUGCUGGUGUGACGUCCUUGAACAAGGAGCAGGGUGGGAUCAGGGUGCCAACGACGGGUUGGCCUCAGGGAGGUGCACCGGCAGCUCGCCCAGAGUAACGGCGGGAAGGACCAGGUUUAUGGGUAGCUGGGUGGGUGUGGGGUGGCCUUUACGGAAGUCCUCUUUUGAUGCCUCCAUCAGAUCCACAGAGGAGGACCUGGGGGUCUGGGAGGGAGACAAUUUGCAAAACAGCCAUCAAAAUGAGGGAAGAGUGAACUCACAGGACA